rnacentral:tRNA from 1 species
GGGAGGGUACCAAAGUGGCCAAAUGGGGCAGACUGUAAAUCUGCUGACGAACGUCUUCGUAGGUUCGAAUCCUGCCCCUCCCACCA